rnacentral:rRNA from 1 species
UGGGACAAGCCCUGGAAACGGGGUCUAAUACCGGAUAACACCGGCUUCGGCAUGGGAGCUGGUUGAAAGCUCCGGCGGUGAAGGAUGAGCCCGCGGCCUAUCAGCUUGUUGGUGGGGUAAUGGCCUACCAAGGCGACGACGGGUAGCCGGCCUGAGAGGGCGACCGGCCACACUGGGACUGAGACACGGCCCAGACUCCUACGGGAGGCAGCAGUGGGGAAUAUUGCACAAUGGGCGAAAGCCUGAUGCAGCGACGCCGCGUGAGGGAUGACGGCCUUCGGGUUGUAAACCUCUUUCAGCAGGGAAGAAGCGAAAGUGACGGUACCUGCAGAAGAAGCGCCGGCUAACUACGUGCCAGCAGCCGCGGUAAUACGUAGGGCGCAAGCGUUGUCCGGAAUUAUUGGGCGUAAAGAGCUCGUAGGCGGCUUGUCACGUCGGAUGUGAAAGCCCGGGGCUUAACCCCGGGUCUGCAUUCGAUACGGGCAGGCUAGAGUGUGGUAGGGGAGAUCGGAAUUCCUGGUGUAGCGGUGAAAUGCGCAGAUAUCAGGAGGAACACCGGUGGCGAAGGCGGAUCUCUGGGCCAUUACUGACGCUGAGGAGCGAAAGCGUGGGGAGCGAACAGGAUUAGAUACCCUGGUAGUCCACGCCGUAAACGUUGGGAACUAGGUGUUGGCGACAUUCCACGUCGUCGGUGCCGCAGCUAACGCAUUAAGUUCCCCGCCU